rnacentral:rRNA from 1 species
AUACGCUGCGAUAAGCUACGGGGAGGUGCGAAUACCCUUUGAUCCGUAGAUUUCCGAAUGGGGAAACCCACCUAAGGUGCUUGGAAAAUCAGAGAUGCAGGGUGACCUGCGUCUGUGGUUUCCAAGUAUCGCUAAUAGGUAACUUAUCCUGAAUACAUAGGGAUAAAGUGGCGAACGCGGGGAACUGAAACAUCUAAGUACCCGUAGGAAAGGACAUCAACCGAGACUCCGGAAGUAGUGGCGAGCGAACCCGGACCAGGCCAGUGGCGAUUGAGAGACAAGCGGAACCUUCUGGAAAGUAGGGCCAUAGUGGGUGACAGCCCCGUACGCGUAAUGCAAUCAAUCGUCCUCGAGUAAGGCGGGACACGUGAAAUCCUGUCUGAAAUUGGGAGGACCACCUUCCAAGCCUAAGUACUCGUGCAUGACCGAUAGC